rnacentral:rRNA from 1 species
AUUGAACGCUGGCGGCAUGCCUUACACAUGCAAGUCGAACGGCAGCACGGAGCUUGCUCUGGUGGCGAGUGGCGAACGGGUGAGUAAUAUAUCGGAACGUACCCUGGAGUGGGGGAUAACGUAGCGAAAGUUACGCUAAUACCGCAUACGAUCUAAGGAUGAAAGUGGGGGAUCGCAAGACCUCAUGCUCGUGGAGCGGCCGAUAUCUGAUUAGCUAGUUGGUAGGGUAAAAGCCUACCAAGGCAUCGAUCAGUAGCUGGUCUGAGAGGACGACCAGCCACACUGGAACUGAGACACGGUCCAGACUCCUACGGGAGGCAGCAGUGGGGAAUUUUGGACAAUGGGCGAAAGCCUGAUCCAGCAACGCCGCGUGAGUGAAGAAGGCCUUCGGGUUGUAAAGCUCUUUUGUCAGGGAAGAAACGGUGAGAGCUAAUAUCUCUUGCUAAUGACGGUACCUGAAGAAUAAGCACCGGCUAACUACGUGCCAGCAGCCGCGGUAAUACGUAGGGUGCAAGCGUUAAUCGGAAUUACUGGGCGUAAAGCGUGCGCAGGCGGUUUUGUAAGUCUGAUGUGAAAUCCCCGGGCUCAACCUGGGAAUUGCAUUGGAGACUGCAAGGCUAGAAUCUGGCAGAGGGGGGUAGAAUUCCACGUGUAGCAGUGAAAUGCGUAGAUAUGUGGAGGAACACCGAUGGCGAAGGCAGCCCCCUGGGUCAAGAUUGACGCUCAUGCACGAAAGCGUGGGGAGCAAACAGGAUUAGAUACCCUGGUAGUCCACGCCCUAAACGAUGUCUACUAGUUGUCGGGUCUUAAUUGACUUGGUAACGCAGCUAACGCGUGAAGUAGACCGCCUGGGGAGUACGGUCGCAAGAUUAAAACUCAAAGGAAUUGACGGGGACCCGCACAAGCGGUGGAUGAUGUGGAUUAAUUCGAUGCAACGCGAAAAACCUUACCUACCCUUGACAUGGCUGGAAUCCCGAAGAGAUUUGGGAGUGCUCGAAAGAGAACCAGUACACAGGUGCUGCAUGGCUGUCGUCAGCUCGUGUCGUGAGAUGUUGGGUUAAGUCCCGCAACGAGCGCAACCCUUGUCAUUAGUUGCUACGAAAGGGCACUCUAAUGAGACUGCCGGUGACAAACCGGAGGAAGGUGGGGAUGACGUCAAGUCCUCAUGGCCCUUAUGGGUAGGGCUUCACACGUCAUACAAUGGUACAUACAGAGCGCCACCAACCCGCGAGGGGGAGCUAAUCGCAGAAAGUGUAUCGUAGUCCGGAUUGUAGUCUGCAACUCGACUGCAUGAAGUUGGAAUCGCUAGUAAUCGCGGAUCAGCAUGUCGCGGUGAAUACGUUCCCGGGUCU